ACGUAGGGGGCAAGCGUUAUCCGGAUUUACUGGGUGUAAAGGGAGCGCAGACGGCUGUGCAAGUCUGAAGUGAAAGGCAUGGGCUCAACCUGUGGACUGCUUUGGAAACUGUGCAGCUAGAGUGUCGGAGAGGUAAGUGGAAUUCCUAGUGUAGCGGUGAAAUGCGUAGAUAUUAGGAGGAACACCAGUGGCGAAGGCGGCUUACUGGACGAUGACUGACGUUGAGGCUCGAAAGCGUGGGGAGCAAACAG
rnacentral:rRNA from 1 species